UUUCCGUAGGUGAACCUGCGGAAGGAUCAUUAUUGUAUAACCGAGGUGCGAGGGCUGUCGCUGACCCGAAAGGUCGUGCACGCCCGAGUGCCCUCACACAUCCAUCUCACCCCUAUGUGCACCACCGCGUGGGUCCCCCUUUGGCUUGUUCGGAGGGGGGCUUACGUUUUCACACAAACUUUGUAUGCAGUGUAGAAUGUAUUUUUUAUUUUUGCGAUCACGCAAUCAAUACAACUUUCAACAACGGAUCUCUUGGCUCUC
rnacentral:misc_RNA from 1 species